rnacentral:rRNA from 1 species
CCUACGGGAGGCAGCAGUAGGGAAUCUUUCACAAUGGGCGAAAGCCUGAUGGAGCAACGCCGCGUGCAGGAUGAAGGCCUUCGGGUUGUAAACUGCUUUUAUAAGCGAGAAAUAUGAUGGUAACUUAUGAAUAAGGAUCGGCUAACUACGUGCCAGCAGCCGCGGUCAUACGUAGGAUCCGAGCAUUAUCCGGGGUGACUGGGUGUAAAGAGUUGCGUAGGUGGCAUAAUAAGUAGCUAGUGGAAUCUGGUGGCUCAACCAUUCAGACUAUUAGCUAAACUGUUAAGCUCGAGACCGUUAGAGGUAACUGGAAUUUCUAGUGUAGGAGUGAAAUCCGUAGAUAUUAGAAGGAACACCAAUAGCGUAGGCAGGUUGCUGGGACGGUUCUGACACUAAGGCACGAAAGCGUAGGGAGCAAACGGGAUUAGAUACCCGGGUAGUC